rnacentral:rRNA from 1 species
UACGUAGGGGGCUAGCGUUGUCCGGAAUCAUUGGGCGUAAAGCGCGUGUAGGCGGUCCGGUAAGUCCGCUGUGAAAGUCGGGGGCUCAACCCUCGAAUGCCGGUGGAUACUGUCGGGCUAGAGUGCGGAAGAGGCGAAGUGGAAUUCCUGGGUGUAGCGGUGAAAUGCGCAGAUAUCAGGAGGAACACCAAUUGCGAAGGCAGCUCGCUGGGACGUCACUGACGCUGAGACGCGAAAGCGUGGGGAGCAAACAGG